UAUAAAGCAUGAUGCCUUAUUUAUCUAAGUCUUGAUCGUGUAAAUUAUUCUCGAUCGUUACCGACCUUCUCCGAGAUAUGGCUUUCCUUCUCUAACAUCACCCCCAGGUGCAAUGAUUUUGAAUGAUAAUUUCACUGUACGUAAGACCAGCAAAUAGUUUUCUUAUAGUAAAAUUGAUUAGGCAAAAAAAACCCCAGAAUAAUGCAAUUGUGACGGGCGAUGUUGUUGUCAUAGGGUUAACCGA
rnacentral:lncRNA from 1 species